rnacentral:rRNA from 1 species
GAUGAACGCUAGCGGCAGGCCUAACACAUGCAAGUCGAGGGGCAGCACAGAAACAGCAAUGUUUUGGUGGCGACCGGCGGACGGGUGCGUAACGCGUAUGCAACCUACCUUUAACAGGGGGAUAACGGAGAGAAAUUUCCACUAAUACCCCAUAACAUCGAUCAAGGCAUCUUGAUUGGUUGAAAACUCCGGUGGUUAAAGAUGGGCAUGCGUUGUAUUAGGUAGUUGGUGAGGUAAUGGCUCACCAAGCCUACGAUACAUAGGGGGACUGGAAGGUUGGCCCCCCACCCGGGUGCUGAGGCACGGACGAGACACCGACGGGAGGCAGCGGGGGGGAAUAUUGGUCAAGGGGGGCACCCCUAAACCAGCGAUGCCGCGUGCAGGAACAGGGCUCUAUGAGUUGUAAACUGCUUUUAAACAGGGAUAAAGCACAGUAUGUUUACUGUGUUGAAGGUACUGUAAGAAUAAGGAUCGGCUAACUCCGUGCCAGCCGCCGCGGUAA